AUUGAACGCUGGCGGCAUGCCUUACACAUGCAAGUCGAACGGCAGCACGGGAGCAAUCCUGGUGGCGAGUGGCGAACGGGUGAGUAAUAUAUCGGAACGUGCCCAGUAAUGGGGGAUAGCCCGGCGAAAGCCGGAUUAAUACCGCAUACGACCUACGGGUGAAAGCAGGGGAUCGCAAGACCUUGCGUUAUUGGAGCGGCCGAUAUCAGAUUAGCUAGCUGGUGGGGUAAAAGCCUACCAAGGCGACGAUCUGUAGCUGGUCUGAGAGGACGCACAGCCACACUGGGACUGAGACACGGCCCAGACUCCUACGGGAGGCAGCAGUGGGGAAUUGUAGACAAUGGGCGCAAGCCUGAUCCAGACAUGCCGCGUGUGGGAAGAAGGCCUUCGGGUUGUAAACCAAUUUUGUCAGGGAAGAAACGCUCUGGGCUAAUACCCUGGGGUAAUGACGGUACCUGAAGAAUAAGCACCGGCUAACUACGUGCCAGCCGCCGCAGUAAAAC
rnacentral:rRNA from 1 species